UAUUCUGGCGAUGAAUGAAAGAGAGAAAGGGGUUGCAUCGUUGGGGUUAGCUUUGGUGGAGGUUGCACAGGAGCUUAAUCGUAUGAAGGCUUCCAUGUCUGGUGUGGAUCGGGAGGAUCUGAUCCCGUGUGAUCUUAUCCACGAGGAAACUUCAACCCUAACAGUUUCUGCCCUAAAUCUUCUCCAAUCUCGGUGGUCAGACAUCGUAGAAAUGGAGGGGAGUGAGGAAGCUGUUGUAGAUCGCGAAUAAGUAUAUCCCAGACAACCUCUUUUUUGCUAGGGCGAGAAAUCUGGUAUCGAAGCUUGAUGCCCUUCCGAUGGCUAGGAGUGUUCAUUCUCAUGGAGUUGGUGGUGGUAUGGCUGAUUCGAAGGUUUACACACCUAUUGGAGGUCGAUCUGGGUCAGGUGGUCGUGGAGGAAGGGGAGGCAGAGGCCAAAAUCCUGUGGCCCUAAAUCCUGAGUUGAAUGUGGUUUCAGCUGUAGACAAUGCGACUCCUGAUAAGUCAUAGGCUUCUAUUUCUGAUCUCUCUCGCUCUGUCUUUCUGGUUAAGCAUACUAUUUGUUCGGAUUGGUUGUUAUACUUUUGGCUCUCCUGAGAUGAAGAGACGGCUGUUUUCAGCCUCCAUUACCAAGCGAACCAGCCAAAAAACUGGGUUUUGGAAGGGGCAACAUUAAACCAUUAUAGCUUAGGCACAAGCAAAUUGGAUCCAUGUUGGUCUUCAGCCCACCUUCUGAUAACAGCCACAAAACUUUGAGUUGAGAACAUGGAAGCAAGAUCAAAGAGUUGAAGAAGAAAUAUGUUACAAGAAAUGUGAUCAAUACAAGAAGAAAUGCUCCUAAUUUUAAGCAAAACAGAGCUAGCAGCAGCAAGGCAGAAUCAACAGCAGCAAGGCAAAGACACACUCCCAUACAGAACCUGGGCAGCUAUUCAUAGCAGCUAAACUAAAGCAAACACAACACAAACCAGAAUUUAUAGACAUUAACAGCAGGCGGACACGGCACCUGGAUAGAUUUACACAGCAGAUCACAUGACACUCCAGUAGAAUGUGUAGACAGACCACCAGAGUUUAGCCUAACCAGUUCCAUAUUUGAGCAUGUCGUUAGAACUAAUGGAGAAAUGCCUUCUGUUGAUGAAGCAACUUUAGACCAUCAAAGAUUACUGGACAGAUUGCAGUUAUAUGAGUUGGUGGAGUUUAUGGUUCAUGGAGAUGGAAAUUGUCAGGGUUUUUAAUAACAAUGAACUCAGUGGCAAGAUUCCUUCAACGCUAGGACUACUGCAGACUUUGGAGAUAUUCUUUUUUACAAAUGAAAGAGGCAGAGAAUACAAGACAACGUGAGGAGAUGCAGCGGUAGCUUUUUGGACUUCAGAGCAUGUUGGCGCAAGUUUUGGAAAAUCGCAAUCUACCAAAUUCUCGACAAUAGAUAGUCAUGGUAAUUGAUGGAUGAACUCGUGCACAAAGCUAAAUUGUACAGGACAAAUUGGCACUUUUUGUAUUUU